rnacentral:rRNA from 1 species
UACGUAGGGUGCAAGCGUUGUCCGGAAUUAUUGGGCGUAAAGAGCUUGUAGGCGGUUUGUCGCGUCUGCUGUGAAAUUUCGGGGCUCAACCCCGAACUUGCAGUGGGUACGGGCAGACUAGAGUGUGGUAGGGGAGACUGGAAUUCCUGGUGUAGCGGUGAAAUGCGCAGAUAUCGGGAGGAACACCGGUGGCGAAGGCGGUUCUCUGGGCCGUACCUGACGCUGAGGAGCGAAAGCGUGGGGAGCGAACAGG